UAAGACAAAGUGGUGUUAGCUUCUAAUU
rnacentral:piRNA from 1 species